UACAGAGGGGGCAAGCGUUGUUCGGAAUUACUGGGCGUAAAGGGCGCGUAGGCGGCCUGCUAAGUCGAACGUGAAAUCCCUGGGCUCAACCCAGGAACUGCGUCCGAUACUGGUUGGCUUGAAUCCGGGAGAGGGAUGUGGAAUUCCAGGUGUAGCGGUGAAAUGCGUAGAUAUCUGGAGGAACACCGGUGGCGAAGGCGACAUCCUGGACCAAUUCUGACGCUGAGGAGCGAAAGCCAGGGGAGCAAACGGG
rnacentral:rRNA from 1 species